UGGGGAAUAUUGCACAAUGGAGGGAACUCUGAUGCAGCGACGCCGCGUGAACGAAGAAGGCUUUCGAGUCGUAAAGUUCUUUUAUAUGGGAAGAUAAUGACGGUAACCGGAGAAGAAGCCCCGGCUAACUUCGUGCCAGCAGCCGCGGUAAUACGAAGGGGGCUAGCGUUGUUCGGAUUUACUGGGCGUAAAGCGCACGUAGGCGGACUAUUAAGUCAGGGGUGAAAUCCCGGGGCUCAACCCCGGAACUGCCUUUGAUACUGGUAGUCUUGAGUUCGAGAGAGGUGAGUGGAAUUCCGAGUGUAGAGGUGAAAUUCGUAGAUAUUCGGAGGAACACCAGUGGCGAAGGCGGCUCACUGGCUCGAUACUGACGCUGAGGUGCGAAAGCGUGGGGAGCAAACAGG
rnacentral:rRNA from 1 species